AUUGAACGCUGGCGGCAGGCCUAACACAUGCAAGUCGAACGGUAACAGGAAGACUCUUGCUUCUUUGCUGACGAGUGGCGGACGGGUGAGUAAUGUCUGGGAAACUGCCUGAUGGAGGGGGAUAACUACUGGAAACGGUAGCUAAUACCGCAUAACGUCGCAAGACCAAAGAGGGGGACCUUCGGGCCUCUUGCCAUCGGAUGUGCCCAGAUGGGAUUAGCUAGUAGGUGGGGUAAUGGCUCACCUAGGCGACGAUCCCUAGCUGGUCUGAGAGGAUGACCAGCCACACUGGAACUGAGACACGGUCCAGACUCCUACGGGAGGCAGCAGUGGGGAAUAUUGCACAAUGGGCGCAAGCCUGAUGCAGCCAUGCCGCGUGUAUGAAGAAGGCCUUCGGGUUGUAAAGUACUUUCAGCGGGGAGGAAGGGAGUAAAGUUAAUACCUUUGCUCAUUGACGUUACCCGCAGAAGAAGCACCGGCUAACUCCGUG
rnacentral:rRNA from 1 species